rnacentral:rRNA from 1 species
CAGUCGCCGCGGGAAUACGAGGGGGGCAAGCGUUGUUCGGAAUUAUUGGGCGUAAAGGGUGCGUAGGCGGCUUGACAAGUCUUGUGUGAAAUCUAUGGGCUCAACCCAAAGUCUGCACGGGAAACUGUCGGGCUUGAGAAUGGGAGAGGUGAGUGGAAUUCCUAGUGUAGCGGUGAAAUGCGCAGAUAUUAGGAGGAACACCGGCGGCGAAGGCGGCUUUCUGGAUUGUAACUGACACUGAGGCACGAGAGCGUGGGUAGCAAACAGGAUUAGAUACCCCCGUAGUCCCUGUCUCUUAUAC